AUACUUAGGGUGCAAGCGUUAAUCGGAAUUACUGGGCGUAAAGCGCUCGUAGGCGGCUUGUAAAGUCGGAUGUGAAAUCCCCGGGCUCAACCUGGGAACUGCAUUCGAAACUGGCAGGCUAGAGUAUAGUAGAGGCAAGUGGAAUUCCGGGUGUAGCGGUGAAAUGCGUAGAUAUCCGGAGGAACAUCAGUGGCGAAGGCGACUUGCUGGACUAAUACUGACGCUGAGGAGCGAAAGCGUGGGGAGCAAACGGGAUUAGAUACCCCAGUAGUCC
rnacentral:rRNA from 1 species